rnacentral:rRNA from 1 species
CAGUCGCCACGGUAAUACGAAGGGUGCAAGCGUUACUCGGAAUUACUGGGCGUAAAGCGUGCGUAGGUGGUGGUUUAAGUCCGUUGUGAAAGCCCUGGGCUCAACCUGGGAAUUGCAGUGGAUACUGGGUCACUAGAGUGUGGUAGAGGAUAGUGGAAUUUCCGGUGUAGCAGUGAAAUGCGUAGAGAUCGGAAGGAACAUCUGUGGCGAAGGCGACUAUCUGGGCCAACACUGACACUGAGGCACGAAAGCGUGGGGAGCAAACAGGAUUAGAUACCCGGGUAGUCCCUGUCUCUUAUAC